CUUCUCGUAGUUCAGCUGGAUAGAACAUUGGUUUGCGGAACCAAAGGUCGGAGGUUCGAGUCCUCCCGAGAAGGCCA
rnacentral:tRNA from 1 species